rnacentral:rRNA from 1 species
GACGAACGCUGGCGGCGUGCUUAACACAUGCAAGUCGAACGGAAAGGCCCUGCUUGCAGGGUACUCGAGUGGCGAACGGGUGAGUAACACGUGGGUGAUCUGCCCUGCACUUCGGGAUAAGCCUGGGAAACUGGGUCUAAUACCGGAUAGGAGCCAUUUUUAGUGUGAUGGUUGGAAAGUUUUUUCGGUGUAGGAUGAGCUCGCGGCCUAUCAGCUUGUUGGUGGGGUAAUGGCCUACCAAGGCGGCGACGGGUAGCCGGCCUGAGAGGGUGGACGGCCACAUUGGGACUGAGAUACGGCCCAGACUCCUACGGGAGGCAGCAGUGGGGAAUACUGCACAAUGGGCGCAAGCCUGACGCAGCGACGCCGCGUGGGGGAUGACGGCCUUCGGGUUGUAAACUCCUUUCGCUAGGGACGAAGCUUUUUGUGACGGUACCUAGAUAAGAAGCACCGGCUAACUACGUG